rnacentral:lncRNA from 1 species
UCGCUCUGUCACCCAGGCUGGACUGCAGUGGCGCGAUCUUGGCUCACUGCAACCUCCGCCUCCUGGAUUCAAGCGAUUCUUCUGCCUCAGCCUCCCGAGUAGCUAGGAUUACAGGCAUGUGUCACCACGCCCGGCUAAUUUUGUAUUUUUAGUAGAGACGGGGUUUCUCCGUGUUGGUCAGGCUGGUCUCGAACUCCUGACCUCAGGUGAUCUGCCCGCCUCGGCCUCCCAAAGUGCUGAGAUUACAGACGUGAGCCACCGUGCCUGGCGGAAUUUUCAUAUUUUAAGUCCCCCACCCUUGGACAUUUAGAUUUUUUCCAUCUUUCUGUAUUUGCAGAUAUGCUUCUACGUACACCUUUAUUCAUUUGCUUGAACAUUUCCCUGAGAAAAACUAGAAAUGGAAUUGCCAGAUUACUUUGUGUACAUGUUUCCAAACUGUCCUCCAGAAAGAAUGUAAUGCUUUGAACUUCCACUUGAGAAUCAAAUGUUUACCUUCCUCUGUUCCUCCAGAUUUGGACAUUUACAGUGUUCAGCCGUUGUUGUGGCAUUCCAAUUCAAUUGGGAAACAGCUUGAUGUAGCGUCCCCAUAAGGUCCACAGUAAUUAAAUUUUUUUUUUUUUUUUUUGGUGCGGUAGUGCAAUUUCAUGGCUCACUGCAACCUCCACCUCCCAGGUUCAAGCGAUCCUCCCAUCUCAGCCUCCCUAGUAGCUGGGAUUACAGGUGCACGCCACCACACCAGGCUAAUUUUUGUAUUUUUAGUAGAGAUGGGGUUUCACCAGGUUAGCCAGGCUGGUCUUGAACUCCAGACCUCAAGGGAUCCGCCUGCCUCAGCUUUCCAAAGUGCUGGGAUUACAGGUGGAGACUGGACCUCAGAAGAGGGAGUGGGUGCCCCGAGAACUCACAGCUAGCGGACAGUGGAAAGGGCAGGAGCCGGACCAAGGUGAGGACAGUGGAACUGAAGGCCGCUGGUUACCUCUCCUGCCCUCCGCUGGCCACAGUGGAGAAGACAGCCCCUCCCUCCUGCUCUGACCUGACAGUGUUCAUCCAUCGCCCUGUAUUAGCGAAGAACAACAUCAAGCUGGCUAGCAAGGAACUGUAUACAGGGUCCAGCUGGGUAUCACACUGGAUCUCACCCAAAGCUUAGAUGUGAUCCAGCUCAGUAUCACAAAGCAGAACGAAAAGGAUGUGUUUGGGCUGAGAGGCCAUACAUUGGCUCCGGCAUGACGGGUGACUUCUUCCGAGUCUGGCUUCUGCAGCACACAGGGCUUCGCCAGCACCCAGCUCCUGCAGCAUGGGCAGCUCCUGUGACAGCAGGCGCCCGCAGCCUGCAAAGCGUCUCCAGUGCCGCCGCCUCAGUGAACCUCAACCAGCGGCACCUAGCAGCUUUCUCUGCCACCCUCUUCAGGUAGUUCUGUAGCAGCGCGUUUCUCAUGAGACACUUCCCUGUGAGCAGCUUUUUCUACCCUUGAGGAUGGAUUUCCAGCAAAUUCUGCCCAUGUGGUACCACAGCCACUUCUCUGCCAUUCAGUGAAACUGCCGUUGUGCCCUCUUCAAGGUCUGGAUCUAAGCCCAGGGACCAGGAAACCUCUUGCUUGAGUGCUGGAACUCAGGCCAGAAGGACAUCCCUGUAGAAGUUCUGCUGCGUGUGGUCCAGCCGUCCCCACUCCUCCCGGGAGAGGUACAAGGCCACAUCCUCGAAAGUCACUGGCAUCUGAAACAAUGUGAAACAUCCACUCUCCAGGACAUGACGUGGACACGGUGGAGGGACACCAUGGCAUGAGAUGUGUGGUGAGACCCCGGACUCCCAACCCACUGUGUCGAGUGAGGCCUGCCACUUCCAUCUGAUCGGGAAGCAGGUGAGCCACCCAAGGCCUUCUGGGGAGUUGAGAAAGAACAAAGACCAAGAGGUAUUUUCAGGGAUCACAGUUAAGACUUAGGAUGUCCAUGCAGCCCCCAGCCUCAGCUGAGACCUCGGAGGACGGUUCCCAACGGCUACCAGCGAGAGGCCCUGUGUCUCUAAUUCCUGCUGCUUCUCCUCCAGCUUUGGCCCAGGCCUGACCAUGGGCCUUGAGCCUGGACAAUUCCAGCAACACUAGCAAGAGCCCCAGGCUUCAGGCUUGGCUGCAAGUGGGGCCAGCGGGGUCCUGGCUUUCACACAGAACCAGCAGAUGCAGGAAGGGCUGAGUACCAUGCAGGGGCCGGGGAAGGGCCACUCACCUGGGACCAGGCAGUGAGGAGCGCUGCAGCCAUCUGCCGGUCUCUGGUCCUCCCCUCUCGGGAAAGCACGGGGAUCCGGGGGGAGGGGAGGGCUGUGGGAGGAGAGAGGUCCUCACGGUGAUCAGCUCAUCCUGCUGGACCUGCUGCUACUUCAGCUGCCUCAAACUCCACCCCUGGCCCGACCCAAGGACAGGGUCGGAUGGCUCUGACGCUGCCAGGGGGCUGUGGGCCAUGGGGGGAUAGCGUCCCCUGCUGGCAUAGAGACCCUCAGCCCCACCUGGACCUGGGCCAAACCUCCACCUCCCCACAGCUGCCUCCCUGGGAAAGCGCCUCUUCCCCGUCCCUCUCCUACCUCCGCCAGGCAGGAAGAGAGCUUUCUCCUUAGAGCCGUGACUUAGGGGUGCCCAGCCCCAGGCACCUUGAGCCCCAUCCUCCUGCGAUGCCCCCUCGGAGUGUGGCUCUUCGGGCUCCAUCUUAAUGUGCAGUGACUCCUGAGUGUCCCCUGAAGGUACCGCCUCCCCCAGCUUAGAAGGCAUUUCCUGAUGAGGAUGUCCACGAUCUGGAACCUAGAAAGGACAGCCCCAUCAGCACCCAGAUGAGUGGGAGAGACACCCAGGGCCACAUGGCAGUGCGCUCCGGCAGCGUCGGAAACCAACAUGCAAGACGCAGCUUGAAGGACUGUCCUUGCUGCAUUCAUCCAGCUCACCCCAGCAAGGACGGGCGGCAAGAGGAGGAAUAUUCACCAAGCCGCCUCCACAGUGCCGGUGGGCGUGGUGCCCAAGGGCAGCUACCCCUUCUCAGCUCCAGCCUCACACUGACCUCAGCAGUGUAGACUGCUGUCUAUUAGUGUAUGAAGAAACCAAGUGUAGUGGCUUGAAUAGUGUCCUCUAAGAAUCCGUGUCCUCCCUGGACCUCAGAAUGGGACCUUAUUGGGGAAAAGGGUCUUUAUACAGGAGAGGACACAGAGACACAGAGAAGGAAGCAGAGACUGGAGGGAUGCCCACACCAAGGACACCAGGAGCCCCCAAGGAGUUGGAAGAGGUAAGGGAGGGUCCUCUUAGUCUAGAGCUUUCAAAAGGAGUGUGACCCUGCUGACACCUAGAUUUUGGACUGCAGGCCUCCAGGACUGUGAGAGAGCCAAUUCUGGUUGUUUUCAGCCCCCCAGAGAGUGGAAACUUGUUACAGCAGCCACGGGAGACUAACACACCAUGGCUGGGGAUGAGACAAUGCCCCGUGACCACAUAGCUCAAAAGCUUUGGGAAAGUCAGGGAGGGCCCUGGUGGGGCCUCAUCCACAGCACAGGAACUGGCCGGACUUCUGCUGGGGUCUCACACUCCUUCCUCCACGCCCUGUCUGUGUUUGGGUCUUGAAGGGAAAGAACCUCAGGCCAGGAAUCAGAGUGCCUGGGUGCCAGACCCAGCGACACCCCUCCCCAAUCAGGCAGCCUUCAGGACGCAGCUGCUCUGCCCCUGCACAGAAUGGUCAUGAGGUUCACGCAGAUAAUGAUGGAGAAGGAGCUGCCAGCUCAGGAAAGUCCUGGAUAAACACAGGGUGGCGCUGGUCAUUAAUCCCCCCCGCCGUGCGCACCAGACAGAAGCCAGUGCCAGCAGAGAAUGCCAACAUGUGGGGCUCUACUGACAUGCCCAAGGUGUUCAAGGCACACGGGAAGUGGAUGGGAAACUGAACCAUGCUAACAAUUCUUUGUGCUUCUAUGGCAUGAAAACCAUAGAUGAUGGCGUCUCAUGCCUAUUAUCCUUAGAGCCUCCCAGUGACCCUGCGAGACAGGUGGAAAUGGCAGGCAUGUGGUCUGCAUUUUACAGAUGACACAUCUGGUUCCCAGAGGCCAGGGACUGGCCCCUGGCCUGUCGCUGACUCAUACUCCUCCAACUCCAAGCCCGGAGACCCAGGUCCCCCACAAAUAGUAAUUACACACACACACUCAACCACGCACGCACACACACACGGGUAGCAGGUACAGGAAGGAGAAAGGACCGGGAGCUCAGACCCACAGAGAUGAGAAGCUGUGGUUCCAGGUGGAGAAGCACGGGGAAGGAGAACAGGUUUCCCUGUGUGCUCUGAGCGCUGCUCAGAAAGAAAACCUCACUGAUAGGACCUCCACCCAGACCUCUUCCAUCUCCUGUGGCCACUGGCUAGAGAAUUCACCAGCAAAGCAAAACUGUUAUGCUGUAAAUUCCAGACAGAGGGUACUACCCAGCAUGCCACCUUCUCUUUGAUCUCCCCACCCCAGUGAGUCUAACUCUUCCAGGGGUCCAGACUCUGUGCCUUGAAAAUCUCCUCCGCACCAGCCUCUUCUACCGCACACCUCCCUCAGCCAGCCCCAUCUGUACCUCCGGGGGUGUCUCCUUGUCCUGGGUGUCCUGGAUGCCUCCGCCGUCUGCAGACAUUUUCUAUUUCAGAGCUAGAAAGAACAGCUGAGUUGUUUCUCCCUCUUUUUGGCCAAGCCCCCUCCAGCUUCUGGCCAGGAGCCUAGAAGAGCAGACAGAAACCAGCCCUCGCUUCCUGGACACCCCCAAAGAGCCCUGAAAAUCCCCACGAGUACCAGCGCUCCCUGGUCCCAAUCGGAAAGAAAGUCUCCCAGAUCCUAUCCGAUGGUCCCACUCUCUGUGAU